ensembl:lncRNA
UGGAGAGGAAGUCCAUAGUUUGUUCAUGGGGACACAGGAAAGCGAGAGAAACAGUCUGGGACUGACGCAAAAUCCUAUGCUAUACAGACUCAUGGUAAUGGCUAUAUUUGACCAAAGAGAGGCGUAGCCUGCAUUGAAAGAGGCGUUGACAAGGUGGCCAAGAUGUUGAUAAAAGUAAAACACAGAGAGACAAAGAAAUAUGUAAAAUUGGAAGAGGUCUGUUUCACAGACGAGUGCAGUGCAGCAGAAGUUUCUCAUACCAGAAAAUGCAGCACUGAAAGUGAGCAGGAUAUAGAGGUGGAUGAGGAUGUCUUUCCUGAACUUGCAACAGUCAAAUAAGUUUGUUUUGUCAUCUAUACAGCUGAAGACAUCCUGGAAAUGGUAAAUGGCCUGUAUUUGUAUAGCGCUUUACUAAUCCCUAAGGACCCCAAAGCGCUUCACACAUUCAGUCGUGAAAACUGCCCAGCACAUCGCCGGAGCAGCACUUCCUGCCAUAAAAGACAUCUACAGGAAGCGGUGUCUGAAAAGGGCUGGGAAAAUCAUCAGAGACCCCAGUCUCCCAUCACAUGGACUCUUCACCCUCCUGCCCUCUGGGAGGCGCUACAGGAGCCUCCGGACUAAGACCACCAGAUUUUACUGUCCUGAAGCAACAUGUGGAAGAGCCCUCAUCUCCAAGUCUAACAGAUACAUCCCAUGCGCAGUCUCAGUUCCCCCAGCUUUCACUGCAAUCUUCAAAGCCCUUCUGGACACAUUGGGAAACCUCUUCCUUACUGCCACUGUAACAAAC